rnacentral:rRNA from 1 species
AGCGGCGGACGGGUGAGUAACGCGUGAGCAAUCUGUCCCAGACAGGGGGAUAACAUUGGGAAACCAAUGCUAAUACCGCAUAAGACCACGGGGAGGCAUCUUUCUGAGGUAAAAGGAGGAAUCCGGUUUGGGGUGAGCUCGCGUCCCAUUAGCUAGUUGGUGAGGUAACGGCCCACCAAGGCGACGAUGGGUAGCCGGCCUGAGAGGGUGAACGGCCACAUUGGAACUGAGAGACGGUCCAGACUCCUACGGGAGGCAGCAGUGGGGGAUAUUGCACAAUGGGGGAAACCCUGAUGCAGCGACGCCGCGUGGAGGAAGAAGGUUUUCGGAUUGUAAACUCCUGUCGUUAGGGACGAUAAUGACGGUACCUAACAAGAAAGCACCGGCUAACUACGUGCCAGCAGCCGCGGUAAAACGUAGGGUGCAAGCGUUGUCCGGAAUUACUGGGUGUAAAGGGAGCGCAGGCGGACCGGCAAGUUGGAAGUGAAAACCAUGGGCUCAACCCAUGAAUUGCUUUCAAAACUGCUGGCCUUGAGUAGUGCAGAGGUAGGUGGAAUCCCCGGUGUAGCGGUGGAAUGCGUAGAUAUCGGGAGGAACACCAGUGGCGAAGGCGGCCUACUGGGCACCAACUGACGCUGAGGCUCGAAAGUGUGGGUAGCAAACAGGAUAGAUACCCUGGUAGUCCACACCGUAAACGAUGAUUACUAGGUGUUGGAGGAUUGACCCCUUCAGUGCCGCAGUUAACACAAUAAGUAAUCCACCUGGGGAGUACGACCGCAAGGUUGAAACUCAAAGGAAUUGACGGGGGCCCGCACAAGCAGUGGAGUAUGUGGUUUAAUUCGACGCAACGCGAAGAACCUUACCAAGUCUUGACAUCCCUUGACGAUGCUGGAAACAGUAUUUCUCUUCGGAGCAAGGAGACAGGUGGUGCAUGGUUGUCGUCAGCUCGUGUCGUGAGAUGUUGGGUUAAGUCCCGCAACGAGCGCAACCCUUAUGGUCAGUUACUACGCAAGAGGACUCUGGCCAGACUGCCGUUGACAAAACGGAGGAAGGUGGGGAUGACGUCAAAUCAUCAUGCCCUUUAUGACUUGGGCUACACACGUACUACAAUGGCGUUAAACAAAGAGAAGCAAGACCGCGAGGUGGAGCAAAACUCAGAAACAACGUCCCAGUUCGGACUGCAGGCUGCAACUCGCCUGCACGAAGUCGGAAUUGCUAGUAAUCGUGGAUCAGCAUGCCACGGUGAAUACGUUCCCGGGCCUU